GGCGUCGUAGCUCAGUUGGGAGAGCAGCAGACUGAAGUGUAUAAAAACAUUGUAUUCUGAAGGUCCUGUGUUCAAUCCACAGUGAUGCCA